rnacentral:lncRNA from 1 species
AGAGGAUUCUGGGCACUGAAGGAGCACAGGAAGCGUCCACACGCCGGGAGGCUACCCGCCGUGGCAAGAGAGGCCUGCACACCCGGCCUCAGCCAAGAGCAGGUUUCUGGAUGCUUCCCUGAUGCCUGUCUGCUGACAGUGCUCCAGCCAGAUAAGAGAGGGUAUGCAGAGACCCGGCAGCCUGCUGAGCUGCUGGCGAGGGCAGGACAGACUCCAGAGGGGCCCUUGGGGUUGUGCACGGCACAGCCCUGCUUAUGCUGCACCCUGGCCCUACCCUGGCAGCUCCUGGUCCUCCUCCCUCCCUUUGAGGCAGAGAGCUGAGCUGGGGCACAGUCUACCUGGCGCUCAGCUCUGCGGAGCCGUUAGCUGCCUCUGAAGACAAACAAUGAUAUUUAAACUACCCACUAACCCUGCCUUCAUGCAGAGAAUGGACAAUUGAGCAAACGCUGCGCAGGACAGAAUUCACCAAAAGGGCCCCUUUCAGUGGCAAAGCUGUUUAUCCAAAGAAAACCCUGCUUCCCAGCCUCUCUCAGCUUUAUUUAAAAACAUUUGUAAACAAGCUGAUGGCUGUCACAAAAGUCCCAUCUAUGAGACAGUAAGAACAGAACAAUCAGCUCAACAGGUAAUUGAGAGAGAUAGCUCCCUUUUGAACUUUCCAGAUGGGGUGGGGAGAUGCAGUUUUAUAGAAGAUUAUGGACUGCUUUAGCCACCAAAUACUCAAAUAUUUGCUUCCGUAUUCAGAAAGCACAGGGGGAGUCAUUUUUCAGUGCUCUGUCUUGUGGCAUCUAGUCAGGAUCCAGCGCCAACAGAGACACAAGCCAAUUAAUUCUGGACACAUUUAAAAAACAAAUUCUAGCCGACCACCUGUUUUCUGGUGACAGCUUUAUGCUAUUUCACUAGUUUAUAAACAGGCUGGCAACGCAGCUCCAAGUUUCUGUACCGCACAAAGCAAGGCCAGCUCAUUAUUCUCUGCGUCCAGUGUGGCCCCAGACAGGCCGCUCACUCAAGCCUGUCAACAUUAAGCAAUGGUUAGCUCUAAAGGCUCUGCCAACUGGGAGAAGCUUCCAGAAUCACUCCCUUUGGGGGAACAAAGGGAAAUUUGCAGUGUGAAAAAAAAUGUCAAAUCAAAAGCUGCUUAAGGAGAGAAAGCAUCUCACUAACAUGAGCCAUCCACACGGGAAUCAGGGAAGCUGGAGUUUGGAGCCUUAGAAGCAGCGCUUGAUCAGUGGCCUCCACCCGAGACCUGUCGGGAAGCAGGUCUUUCCAUCCAGCGCUGACCCAGAGCGGGGAUUCCUGUCGUCUGGACACCGAGGAC